GCGAGCUCGGAGCGGGCUCCGCUGAAACGUGGCUCUGGGAAGUUUCGGUGGGUUGAGCGGAGGGGAGAUGCCACCCUGACACUGUGCAACAAGUGACCUGGUACAGUGUGACCGUGGCAUUUCAGCUCAGGGCCAAAGCGAGCAGCGUGCCUGCGGCUGGCGCUGCUCAAGGGGGAGGAUGGCAAAGGGGUUCUGUCAACUUUGUAACUAGGUGAAGUUCUCUGUGUAUUUUUCCGUGUAUGAUGCCUGCUUGUUCAAACAGAUUCAAGGGAGUAUUCCAGGGCAAACAUUGUUACGGCAUGCUUUAAGUGACACAUGUCUCCUGCCAUCCUCUUGAUGCAUCUCUUCCUGUAUGUCAAGUGAAGGGCAAACAAUAAGGGAAAAGACAGAGCACUUGCUUUGCAAAAUCUGCAAAGGUUUCACACCACACUCAAACUGUCGAUUUGCUCAGUGUGUUGUGUUUAAAGGUGAUGGAUUUCUAUUCUUCCCUCCCGACGCGGGAUGAGGAUUGAUUUUGCUAAGCCACGGAAUGACUUUGUAGAAUGAAUUCAAACACAUGGCAAAGAGACUUCAAGAUUUUAGGCAGAAAUCUUGUCUCAUGAUCCUACUGAUCUACAUCGCCUUGGCAGAAUACACCCCUCCUCCAUAAAAACAUUCUACUGCCUUGGACCUGGUGGCUUUAACCUUGACUCCCGCUCUCCUUCACAUGGCUCUUCCUUGGAAAGCCAAGUCUGUUUUGAAGAAGGAGGAAGUAUCAAAGUGGAGUAAAGGUUUACACCGAUCUCCCAGAUUUGUUCUUUUGCUUUGGACCCAGUCUGGCUUUGUGUUCAUUGCCAGGAACGAUCAAAUGUUUUUAUCACGUACAGUGGCAGCAGCCUUGAUGUGGUGUUGUUAGCACUGAGGCUGUUUAGAGAGGAAUUGCAGCCUUAGGAGGUGCGAGCUGACCACUUAUGUUUGGUGUGACUGCACAGCAUUUAAAUACUGACUGAAUGGUCAUCGGGGACAUCAGGCAGUGUCAGAGCCAGGGUUGUGCACGAUAUACAUGAGUUAAGAGAGGACUCUGAUUCAGCACUACCUUCCAGAGCUGAAUGAUACCAGUUACUCUUUCAUGUUUGUGUUACCUGAUCGCAGCAGUGAUAAAUAAUGUGUCAUAAUACCGCUUGUAAUUGAGAGCAAACAGGUUUAACAAGAGGUGAAUCAAUGGAGGGAAUAUGCAUGUUACUGUUUGUUUCUGAUAAUAAGGUUAAAACACAAAAUCAGUCCUGAAACUAAUGCUACUGAAUUGGACAUUGCCAAGUAGGUAUUUACAUCCUUAAGAAAGCAGAAGUUCUUUGCUGUGAGUUACAUAUUGCAAGGUUUCAACAAACGUACAACACUUUAUAAAAGGAAACUUAAUGGAAUCUUGAGGUGUCUCACAGCAUUGUAAAUUUUCUGAGUCAUCAAAAGAUUGAAAUCAAACUUGCAAUAGGAAAUAAGGUCAAAGCAUGCAAAUAUAUUGUGACUGGUGUCCUAUAAAUUUUUUAUUUCAAAAUAAUUUUAUUUUUCUAGCCCAAAUAUAGUUAAAUUCUAACCAAAUUCUCUUAAAAGGCUUGCUGAAGUAAAAAUACUGUUCCUGUUGACUACACUUGUAAUUGUUAAAAACAAAAGCCCACCUGAGUUCAUAAUCCAAACUUUUAAAUAUAUUUUUAUCCUAACAGGAAGCAUUAAUGAGCUUCAGAUAACAUCUACAAAGCCUAAAGCCUUAGGAGAGAUUUUCAUGUUUAGUAUAUCCUUAAUUAGAGCCUUUAAAUGAGUCAGACAAAGACAAUAAAACGCUUAUUUCUUUGCAAUGAAAUGACCUACUGUAAUGUUUAUUAAACCGUGUUGGAACAUAAGCUAAGUUACCAUACAAAUACGGUAUCAAACCUCAUGCUAAGAAAAAUGUUGGCCUAUUUUAGGCAUUACAGGUCCUUUCUUACUAUCCCAAGACUUUUUGUAAGACUUGUACUAAUUUAGGGAGAACUGUUUGCAUUACCUGUUAAUCUAAAAUAAGAUGAACAAUAAACCCAUCCCAAUUUGGGUGGAUAAAGUCAGACACAUAAGUCAGCACCCUGGACUCCUAAGCAAAAAUAAUCUCAUUUUUAAGGCACUGAGCCCUUAAUAGAAUUUACGGUUCUUGAAGAGAAGGUGUAAUGUUUAGCUGGGUAAACUACACUACCUGGCUACAUCCAAAUGCAAAAUGAUGGGCCAAGAUAUAAUGCCUGAUACUACACUCUUUAAAGCAAUUGUUCUUCUGAAGUUAUUGGGAUCAAAUGUAGGAUCUGACUUAGAAUUCCAGUAAUCAUUUCCCUUUUUCCUACUGUUCUGUUCUCAGAUGUAAAAGUGAAAUCUGCAGAAUAAAUUCCGUAGUUCAUUUAUUUUAAAAGAUGUUUGCAGAGCCCAUGUUUCACUAAUAAGCUGCUGUAACUCAGCUAAUUCUUGGAAUACUUCUAAAAUGGGAGAAACCUAACAACUGUAACAAGGUAAUAAGCAUAAUUACAGAGAUUGGGAGUUUACCUCUCUUGGAGAGGCAUCAAUCCUUAUCAGCUUCAGUGGGGAAUUUCUGACUAAGCUCAAUAAAUUGUACAAGUAGAUUAAAUAUACUUUGCAUUUAAGAUCUGCUGAAGUCCAGCACUGAAACUACUUUAUUACAUCAGGCCAUAAUGUGCACAUCUCUUCGUAAUAUUUUGUUUAUAGUACAGAUUAGGUUUGUUGGGGUCUUUUUUCCCAAAAAUCAGAAAAUCACCUUGUUUAUUCCAAAGACCUAGGUUUAGAUUUUCUUCUUACUAUUUUCUAAAUGAAGCCUCACAACACAGAAAUACUAGAGAGGUCCUAAGCCGAAAUACCAAAGGCAGUUAAAAAAGAUAUCGAAGGAAGCUAUGUCCUGCCUCCACAUUCCCAGGUGCCUUUCUGUAGGAUUUGCUUUUGUGAUACUUGUGCACCCCACGCUUUCAGGUAGAACACCAGGAAAGAGGUGAAGUGGCCUUCCAGAGAGCCAGCACCACAACCAGCACUAGGAUGCAGAGAGGUCCAGUGCCACGGGAGCUCUUUCCAGGCUAUUUCACCAUCAUAAUGAGCUUUAGCAUUUGAUUUUGCUCUGUUUACCGACCAGUUCGGUUUGCGCAGUGACCGCGCGAAGCAGAGCAGGGACUGCCGUGGGUCCUGAGGCUCCAGCUGCCUCCUGAGCCCCAGGGGUGAGGCUUUUGCAUGAGCAAGAGAGCUUCAGAUGAGAUGCAUGGGCUGUUUGUCUACAAAUGUACAACCUCAGUUAUGUAAGAAGUCCUGUUUAAUUCAGUAAAUGUAGGCUCUGACUGGAUGGAACCUGAUGGAGACAGGAGCACACCCUGGGAUUCACAGAUGAGGCAGAAGAGCCAAGUCUAAAAGCUAAACUGUACAGGUGAAAGAGAGUGUUUGUCUCUUAGGAUAAUGUGUGCAAUCCUGUGUGCUGUUUUCCAUCUACAACAGAACAGUAGCAGACCAGAUGGAAGCAGAACAUUCAACCCCCAAUCACUGCUCUAAAAUGUCUGUCAUUUUAACAACCAACUAUAAGAUGUUUUAAGGUUUUUACAGUAUAUUGUAGACCUGGUGCCAGACCUCCUGUUGACUUUUAUGAAAGUUCUAUAAAUGAACAGGGGGCAAAUUUCAAUCACAGAAUGGGAUUUGCACAGCAUUUGACUUCCUAUGAAAUUCAAAAUAAAUGCUUUCAAAACUGUUUGCCCUGAUGCUGUAUUUAGUCUGCUUUCCCCAGCACAAAUGCUUGAGCAGAGCAAGUGCUUUGCCAAAUGUUGGCAUGGGAUUUUACAUAUGGUAGUGUUGUGUUUCGAGAUGUCUUAAUUUAGACAAAGCACAAAUCUUGACCACACAGGGGUAUCAAAGUUACUCUGGCACUUUUUUGCAGGAGCAGGUUUGUUAGUCACGAUGCCUUGGCCAAGUUCCAGAUCAGAUAGUUUGUCUCCUAAACUUUUGAUUGCAUAGGCAAUCAGCUUCAUGCCCUUAAUUUUUGUGUUGUGAUAUUUAACAUUCUACCAUUGGUACUUUGUAUUUACAUGAAAUAAUCCAUAUUAAUCAUUCACGUUUCAGUAAGAUUUCAGUUGUCAAACACAUACCUGUAUGAUCAUAGUGGGUCUGCAAAAAAAUAAGUAUGUAUACAUGAAAAUUCCUGCAAGGUGGAACCUCAAGGGCUUCACAUGUUUUGGUGGGCCUGAAAAGCACUGCUAAAUAUUUUAUAAAAGACAUUUUUAUACUGAUUUCUUGGCAUUUAAGACACACUAACUCGCUGAGAAAAGGGAAGCAGAACAGUCUCACGAUUAACUGCAGAUGCGAAUCCCAUUUUGGUUUACUUGGUAACCUAUUAAAAAUACAGUGUUGGAUACACUGCUACCUAAAAUAAAUAACCCCGAAGCAAUUAAACAGUUGUGAAUAAAAAAAGAAAGUAAUGUUCAUUUUUACAUUAAUAAAAUGGUCUACAAAGAAUAUGCACAACGUAAAAUUGAAUUCAAUGCUAAAUUGAAUCUCCUCUCAGCUGUAAUGUCAACAUAAACUUAAUAACUUUAAGCUACAAAAUUUUAAAAAUCUGGGCACAUGGCUGGAAUCCUAACUGAUCUUUAGUGGUGUCUAUGAUUCAUAACUCCUAGCCUAGCUAAAAUUCCAUUAUGAUAAACUGAUAAUAUUUUAUUAUUACAACUCUUUUCUAAAAGUACUCACAAUACUAGGGCAGUGUUUAUGGUGGUAUGUUGUCUAUUUUGCCUUGGUAUUUUCCAGUAUUUUAGUAGCAGCUCUACCAAGUUUUGAACAUCAGAUUAUGGACUGCUUAUAAAUUGAAAAAAAGGUAAAAAUAAUGAGCUCACUUUCAUAGAAUGAAGUUCAUUCAAAGAAAGUAGAUGAUAAAUUGUGUUUGGCGAAGGCACAGACAGAAACUGUAAAAAUUGUGAGCAUUUGCAAUGCUGGUAGAGAGAAGUGUUCCAUGAAGCUGUUAGGCAGUUUUACAAGAGCCUAGUGGAAAAUCUUGCAAAGGCUCAGAAAUUCUUGGCUUAUGCUAUAUUUUUACUGGAUGUAAAUUAGGAAGAACUUUUACUAACUAGAUAAGGAUCCAUCCCUCUAUUCUGUAAUUAAAUUCAUUCAAAACAUAGAAAAACAACAGUCCUUAGUGUAGUCUCUGUCAUAUAUUAAUAUAAAUGUUAGUCUAAACCCAGUAUAUAACUUUCACCAAAGAGGCACUGUUUACUCAAGAAUCAUGCUGUACUUUCUUUUUUUAAUCUACCACUAUUGUCACAAUUUACUAUGCAAAGGAGGAGGAUAAAAAGUUCAGAUAAAGUCCACCAGGUGGAUCAGGAGGAAUUGUCCAAAUAGGACAAGGGGCAUGAAAGGAUGGAAAAAAUAACGCAUAUGGAAAUUUAGACUUUAGGAAAUGCAGUCUCAUAACUUGGCUGUAGGAUGUUUUGUAAUUUAUAAUAGUCUUGUAUCUAAGUAAGCUUUAAAAAAAAAAGGUGUUGAUGUACAAACCAGGUCCAUUUAAAAUCAUCUAUCCAGCUUAAUUUGCUACUCUUUUUGCAAAAGUUAAACACGAAAAAGGUAAAAACAUUGAAAUACUACUUAGAAUGAAUCUACCCAGUGCACAAAGUACGUACUAGUUGUUUGUGUCACAGAAUCUAAUUUUGCACAGUCUAUUUCAGAAAUAGGUGAUCCUGCAAAACUGAGAGAAACACUUGCCUUCCAAAUCAGUGUCAUGGCAUGUAAACUAGGAGGUGACUUUCUGUAGCUGUGGAUUUUCAUCAUUGUCCAGUAAUACUACUAAUAAAAUGCCUAAGGAUCAUAAAGACUGUAUUCAGCAAAUUUUUCUACCAGGUUAGAAUUAUUAUAAACAGUCUGAUAUUUCAUUGCUCUGCUCUCAGGCUCUUGAAGUUCUGAGUCAUUGGUACAUGAGUUUUACUUCCAGUGGUUUAUUUGCAUUUAAAUAAAUUCUAAAAUAUCAAGUAAGUGAAACUCAUUAUACACAAUGGAAAAAAAAAUCCAUGUCUCAUCAGUUUACCCAUGCCCAGAAAUGCAAAUCACAACCCAAAGUUUAAUGGUAGCCCCCGAAGGUGAUUUUCCCAAACUUUGCACGAUUAGUCAUGUGUCAGCAUUACUGCAGUUCCUCUCAAAAAACGGGUUGUCCUGAACUUCUGUAGGUUGGCAUAGUAGAUGUAAGCAUUAAGUUUUCUUCCUCUACUUCUCCAUUGCCUGUCAUGACACUCAGAUUUGCCACUGCUUUGCCUCUCAUUGUCCUGUUUGUUGAUUUUCUCCUCCUUGCUCGAGUUUGAAGGCUUUCAUGAAACGUUUUGCCUCCUGCCACAUUUGUGCUGUGUUUUCCUUCCUGCUGCCCACGGCAGGGCACCCAACUCGCCCGGGCCAUGACUGCUGCCUGCAACAGGGGUCGAGUCCCCUCUCAGCAGCACUUGGUCACAAAACAAAAAUGUUCCACAGCCAAGGUCUACUCGCUGCCACAAGUAGAAGGAAGUGAACUGAUGGUGAAAAAUUUGGUUACCAGCAGAGCUCCCUCUUCACAAACUGUAUGAAGAUUAGGAAACAAUAGGGGACUGCCACGAGAAGAGAAGUAGCCAGGUUUAAAAAAAACACCUGAGUUUUAUCUACAACAUUUGCAAGGUAGACCUAUGCCCAUAAACCCACUUUUCUCACAUGCUUCUCUAUUUUGGCAAUCCCUACAGGAAAAGAGCCACACUAAAGUCUUUGUGAGUUUCUCUGUAAAAUAUGGAACACACUAAUGCUUCAUGUUCACUUGUCUUAGAGCAGUCUACUGUCUUCUGGUAACUUGAACUGUUCAUUUCAUAGAAUUUCCUUUUUAUACCUCUUAUCCCGAUACAGGUGUUGAAUACAAUUUACCAAUACCUUUGGACAGCAUUUUUCAAUAAAAUAUGCAUUUGGAACAAAGUAGCACCUAUGCAUUUAGAACAACAAAAGCGUGUGUGAUAAGAAAAGUACUGUGCAAUGAAUUAAGACAAAUUACCAUUCUUGAUUACAUUAAGACUUCAUUUGCUGUUAGGAGAUACAUAAAAGAAAUUCAGAUGCUCUUGUCCACUGACAUUUAGAAAUGAGACCUUCAGAAUUAUUUUGACAUGCAUUUACUAUCAAUCAUUUGGCUUUAUAGACCUUAAUAGUUUUCAAAAGCUGAGGAAACAAACUUUAAAAUUUGUCUUAACAAGAUUAGAGCCAGCUGUAACUUAACCUUUACAUCAGUGAAUCUAAUUGGAAAUUACACUGAUGUAAAAAACAGAGUAAUUUGCUUCCAAGCCUUUUUCACAUUAAUUUCUGUCUUCCCAACGUCACCAGUCAGGUUCCAAAGCUACAGUGUCAAGUAGUGAAUACAGCAUUUCCUGGAUAGGGGCAGGAAAGCAGUCACAAAAUACAUUUUCAAAUUCAGCAUUUUCUGACUAGUAGGCGUAUCAGUAAAAGGUCCAGGAACUCUUAUUCAUUGUUAAUUAAAAAUCAGUUGAGGGGACAUAGUUGCCCAUUUAAGUCUACUCUGAAAUACAGAAAUAUAUUUCUUGAUAAGUAAUGCUGAAUAUUAGAGUUUAACUUCACAGAGUUUCCUAUGGUCAAUUUUGCUAAUAUUAAUAUAGGAAUAAACAAAGACCACAGUAAAUAGAAGCUUCUUGAGUACUUCUGAGUAUUAUGUAAAACUGAGAGUAAACAUCACAUUUUUAUAUGAUAGUAAUCUGUCAGAGCCUCUUAAAAUCUUAAUAGGAAUAUCUGAAAAAAAAAAUCAUGUUUUACACAAAAGAACAGAUUCAUUUUAUUUAUGCUAGGUAGAAGAUGGCCUUAGUCUUCAAUAUGAUCUUGGACACCAUUGUCAUAGGAGUAAUGACAGAAAUGUGACAGAAGUGAUUAAUGAAAUAAAAAAUACAGCUUGACAUGUGUCUCAUCAAAGUGACAGGUUAUUUCUGUUGUCAUUCAUGGAAGUUUAACAAGGAAUAUAAUUUUCCAGUUGCAGGCUUGAGAUGCACAUGAGAUCUUUCAUCUUCUGCUAUAUGUUGUCUAACACUCCUUUCAAGAACCAGGACAAUUUUAAGAAGGCUUUGAAAAAGGAACACAAGGAAGAGUGAUAGAUAAAAGAAAGAGGGAAAAUUAGGAUGUACAACAGAGAAAACAGUGCUAAGGAAUGGAAACUAGGAACUGACAUGUCUUGGAAAGGAACAGAAUCACUGCUUAAGAGUUCAACUGCACUUGUGAUUUUUUUCUCCUCAAAUCAUUUUCAUAAAGGAAAAAUAAAUAUGUUACAAACAUUA